rnacentral:RNase_P_RNA from 1 species
AGUAGAUCAGACGGUCGCGGGGACAAAGGCGAAAGCCUGUCCAUGAGGAAAGUCCGGGCUCCACAGGGCAAGGAUAACGGGUAACACCCGCCGAAGGCGACUUCAGGAAAAGUGCAACAGAGAUAUACCGCCUCAAUUUGAGGUAAGGGUGGAAAGGCGAGGUAAGAGCUCACCCGACGGCGUGCAAAAGCGUCCGUCGCUGUAAACUCUAUCCGGAGCAACACCGGAGUGGGAGCAUAAGGCUUGCCCGGCCGCUCCCGAGGUGGCUGGAGCGUGCCGGUAACGGUACGCGUAGAUAGAUGACCGUAUGAUAACAGAACCCGGCUUACAGAUCUGCUCA